rnacentral:sRNA from 1 species
CUUGGUCAUUUAGAGGAAGUAAAAGUCGUAACAAGGUUUCCGUAGGUGAACCUGCGGAAGGAUCAUUAAUGAAUUGUUAGGACGCUCUUUUUAGAGGUCCGACCCCUUCAUUUCCUUACACUGUGCACACACUUCUUUUUCACACAUUUUAACACAUCAGUUUAAAGAAUGUAAAUAGUCUCUUAAUUGAGCAUAAAAUAAAUAAAACUUUCAGCAACGGAUCUCUUGGCUCUCGCAUCGAUGAAGAACGCAGCGAAUUGCGAUAAGUAAUGUGAAUUGCAGAAUUCAGUGAAUCAUCGAAUCUUUGAACGCACCUUGCACUCUUUGGUAUUCCGAAGAGUAUGUCUGUUUGAGUGUCAUGAAACUCUCAACCCCCUUGUUUUGUAAUGAAACGAGCGUGGGCUUGGAUUAUGGCUGUUUGUCGGCGUCAUUGCCGGCUCAGCUGAAAUACACGAGCAACCCAUUUGAAAUAGGCGGUUUGACUCGGCGUAAUAAUUAUUUCGCUGAGGACGUCUUCUUUAAAGUUGAUGGUGCUUCUAAUGCGCUUUAAUUAAGCAUCUUAAGCUUUAGACCUCAAAUCAGUCAGGACUACCCGCUGAACUUAAGCAUAUCAAUAAGCGGAGGAAAAGAAACUAACAAGGAUUCCCCUAGUAACGGCGAGUGAAGUGGGAAAAGCUCAACUUUGAAAUCUGGCACCUUCGGUGUCCGAAUUGUAGUCUCUAGAAGUGUUUUCCGUGCUGGCCCAUGUGUGAGUCUGUUGGAACACAGCGUCAUAGAGGGUGACAACCCCGUUCAUAACAUGGACCCCAGUACUUUGUGAUACACUCUCGACGAGUCGAGUUGUUUGGGAAU